rnacentral:lncRNA from 1 species
AAAACUCAUAGUAAUUUUAUUUUUUCGCAAAAAGAUAUGAAAAAACCUAGAAUCCUCCGGAAUUCUAUUUCCCUACAUGGGGAAUUUUUUUAUUUUAUCAUACCCAUACUGCAGAUAUGUUUAAGUGGGUCGUCUGCAUUAAAUGAAGCACCCCACAAGUGAAAUGAUUCCUGUUUUGCAGCAAUGUGUCGUUUUGAAAUGAAUGUCUGCGCGGAUUCCCACAACCAUGUCUGAUGCAGAGCACAGAGGCGUCAAUCAGUUCAGCCAUUGAAUCGAAGAAGCUUUGAUUCCGCGCAUAUGGCAUGAACCUGAUCGUCGCAUUGAAUCGAAGAAGCUUUGAUUCCCAUGCAAUCUCUGCAACAAUCUGUGGAAGAUCCACCAAUUUUGUCGUCAAGUUUCAGAGAUCCGUGUGUGCAGAAGCUUGAACUGUUGUUAUGUGCGGCACCUUCAAGUUAUAAAGAAACGGAAUCUAAUCGUUACCGACAUGCAUGACACGUCGAAGCUUGCAUCGAUUCACCACUGUGCUUAAACUCUAUAUCAAGGUUGUGGGCAAUUUU